GAGAUAAGUCAUUUUAGAGGCAUGACUGGUAGGUCCUUUCAUGGGAGAGUAUGUGAGUGAGUGAGUAGGUGAGUGAGUGAGUGAGUGGAGAAGGUGUGUGUGGAGGGGAGGUGGGGUGCAGGCAAAACUUUAAAAUUCUUGAAAUUAUUAGGACACUUGGAAGCAUAGUCUGGAUGCCUAACAAGCUACCUUUGUUUCCAGCCUGCCUAUAUUGAGUUAUUAAUAAAAAGUCAUUUUUAGGAACAAAACUUACCUCUGCUAAAUACAACUUUGCCUGAUCUCUUAUCUCAUUCUGGCCCAGAGUUAUUUACAUUUAUAUGCACACCCUCUCAUCUACAUCUUCUGAGAGCUGUCUGGCUGAUGAAGUUGGGUAGGCAGGCAAGGAAGGAAAGAGUACUGAAAGCUUUAUUGAUCCCAGGUGCUGUGCCACGUGCUUUCACAUACAUAAUCUGGUUGUUCUUGAAACAGCUCAGGGAAGCUGUGAUAAUCCCAAGGUCGCGCUGUCAUGUUAGCACGAGUAUUAGAAUCUGGGUCUUCCUGACUCCACUAUGUGAGGAUGCCUUUAAACCAUGUCUGCGUCUUUUCAAAGGUUUUUCAAUGUAAUAUAUCUGCUUAAAUGGUUCAGGGAUGGUGUUGGUAAGAAAAGUACAUCAUAAGAAAAAUGUAUUCUGCUUAUGAGAAGGAAUAAUUUGCAAGCUCUGAGCUCUCCACUUUGUAUAAGCUACCAAAGUAUAAUGUUGCCCAAUUUCUGAGUGAUUCAUUUUCUACACAUAAUUUGUAGAAUUUUUUUUUAAUAACAGCAAUGAGGGCUUGAUUUUAUUCUCAUAUUCAUGGUAAGACAUUCUGAAAAAUGCUGGCAGGCUUUAUUGAUUUUACAUUACCCACUUCUCAUCACAGUGAGAGGCCAUUUAAAUGUGUGUCUACCAGAUGGUUAUUUCCAAGAACAUAAGUCGACUUAUGAGUAAGUGUUAUCCUUCUACUUUCCUUUCUGAUUUCCAUCUAGAAGGAACUUCUCAAGUGUUACUAGAGCUCUAGCCACGGAUCCUAGUUUCCUAGUCUUGGGUCUGGGGGGUAUUGGUACAUGACUGGGUCAAGCUCCGGAAGGCACUCUACUGUGACACUUGAAAAUAAGGGGUAUCUCUGGGCGCAUGUCUGGGACCAUUGCUUUAGUCUGAUUCCCUCUAUCACGCCAUGGCAACCUUAGUAAUGCCCUUCAUUAGUCCUAAGUCACUUCACAGACUUCAAGUUGAUCUUUCAAGCCUGCCAUUUGAGAUUCAUUUCUUAGGGCUAGGGACCCCUCCACAUGGGCCUUCUACCAAAGACAAAGCCCUCUGUCUAAAUAGGAUAAGUGAUAAUGAUAGCCUCAUAAUUAAUUCUUGGUCCAGAUGUCCCAGAAUCAAUUGAUACAUUCAUGGGUAUCCCAGUAUUGAUUGACAUAUUGAUACGCUACUCUCCAGCCCAUUGACCCCUGUGAAGCCCAGUUAAUGGUGUACAUGAUUUUAAAAUUAGAAAUGACUCUGCCUGGGAAAACAGCAUUUAUACCACUCAAGACUGGAGCCUCUGUCCUCAACCUGGUUUGCUCAUUUUGGUAUCCUGUGUGUGUCAGCAUCUAUAAGAGGUAACAAUCCAGAGCCUUCCCAUGAAACUAAGUAAACCUAUACACAGAGUAAAGAGUAGGGUGCUUGUGAAGAGCUUUUCCUUAAAGACAGUCUCUUUAAAAAAAAAAAAAAGAUGUGCUUACUUUGCCCUAUAAAGGAACUUCCAUUUAUCAAUUUAACUCAAAUAUUUUGAAACAGAGAACAGCUCUUCUUUUGGAAUAAUGAUGUUGAAUGUUGUUACAUAAAGUCAUUUCUCCAUUGAAUUAUACUGUAAAGCAAUCUUUUCCCAAUUUAAAGGGAUAUUCUGCAAUAGUUCAGCAUUGAGUCAAUUCAGGCUCACUAGACUCACAUAGACUCAUCAUACACAGUUCUGUACAAAACAUUUAUAUCCACUUCGUCUGCUCCCUCUUUAUAGCCAACAGAGUUGCUACCUUUGUAGGGAUCAUGGAGCUAAGUAUUUUCUCACUGGGGCAUUUCUUCUAUCCUGUUCUUAGCAGCCAUAGGGGUAAGUGUGAAGAUAGCAAGUGCACCUCCACUCCAGCUGCCUGUUGUUUGGGUAGCUUCUCUCUAGUUCAGGGUCUAGGGCUAAUCAACUAAAUAGUCACCAGUUACACCAUUAGAGGGAUUUUUAGUUGUUUGACCGCCUUAAAAAUAGAUUCUUAUACCUUUGGUAAGAUCAGUCAUACCAAGAUCCACUGGAUGUGUAUUAAUUAAUCUAUUGCCACCUGUUGAAAUCACUAAUUUUGGCGAACAUAUACCAGCUUUAUCACCAUGAGUUUUGCUUCACUGGGAUGAAGUUGGCGUCUAACUCUUCAAAAAAUGUCCUUACUGAAUGAUAAAGCCAAAUGGACCUGAUAUGUGCUUCUAUAGGAUUCUUAAUCAGGUAUCUCUUCAUCAGACUUAUUCCUUAUUUUUAUAGCAUCUUUUGUUCUAGGAACUUCAAAAGAAAAAAAAAAAAAAA
rnacentral:lncRNA from 1 species